AAAACGACUCUCGGCAACGGAUAUCUCGGCUCUUGCAUCGAUGAAGAACGUAUCGAAAUGCGAUACUUGGUGUGAAUUGCAGAAUCCCGUGAACCAUCGAGUCUUUGAACGCAAGUUGCGCCCAAAGCCUUCGGGCCGAGGGCACGUCUGCCUGGGUGUCACGC
rnacentral:rRNA from 1 species